AUUAAAGCUCACGCAACGUCACACAGGAGGAUGAAUGCAAGCGUGUUGGCCAGAAACAGCCAGACUGAAAUCUGCACGCCCCGUUAAACAAUUGGUCGAAAUCUACAGCGGCUGAAACUGACAAUAAACAGACAGGACAGAUAUCGACACGUCCUGUUUGUCGAUUGGUCCAAACCUACAGAGACCUAAGCAAAAUCACGGACAGCACGAAAUGAUCAUGAUGAUGUCAGACUCAAAGUCUCACAGGAGACGAUUUGGCUGUUUCUUUUUGCUAACGUACUAUUGUACAUUAAAGUAUAUCAGUGAAUUUUACUAACGUUUCAUAAUCAAUAUAUUAAUUAGUUAAAAGAAAGACAUUAAUCUAAACAAUAAAAUGCUUUCUUUGAUGAUUCAUUCGGGUUAUGAAGGUAGCGAUCAUUGCAGAAAUCCCGCUGACAAUGAUCUUGUGCUAAUCAGAAUACACCAAUGAACUGAGAGAGAAAAAUGUUUCAGCUGUAGUGGUCUACACAACUAAGAUUGUCUUUUUACCUCGUGCUUUGUUUAAUUUUCAAUACAUCAGGAACGUAUAAUAUACUAUUAAACUAUUCAUACGUCUUUC
rnacentral:sRNA from 1 species